GAGCUCAAUUGGUAGAGCAUGAGACUCUUAAUCUCAUGGUUGUGGGUUCGAACCCCACAGUGGGCA